UGCGGACAAUUGGCUGCCCUU
rnacentral:misc_RNA from 1 species